rnacentral:tRNA from 10 species
GUGAGCGGGGUCGUGGGGAGAGGGCGCGCGGGGCCCAGGGAACCCGUGAUGGAAAAGGAAGCCCGCAGUGGGUCUGACUCUUCAAGAGAUAAGGAAGUGGUAGGAAAGUAGCCUUGCGCGGUGGGUAUCUUAGAGGCAAAAAGAAAGUGACUCCGCCAGGCUCUGGCCUCCCAGGAAGGCGGAAGUAGGCUUGCCUAUCUUCCACUUUUCUAUCUUUAAGGAAAGAAUAGGAAAAGACGGAAGCAGGCCCCAGCGAGAUUUGAACUCGCGACCCUGGUUUACAAGACCAGUGCUCUAACCCCUGAGCUAUGGAGCCGGCUGUUGGUUUCCUUUUGACACAAAAGCAGUUGACGCUGUCGCCGGCGCCGCGCAGCCGCAGUCCGCUGAACCCUCGGCCGAGUUCUGUGGCUGCUGGACCCAAGCUCCUCCCACGGCCGCAGCCAUCUUGCCCGUGCGUCCGUGGCACGGAACGGCCGUUAGUCCCGGCAGAGGGCUCCGCGAAGACAGUGCCGUCGUUGGGCGCGCGCGCGGGCGGGAGCUGUCGGGGCGGGGCGGCACCGCCGAGCUCCGAGCUGUGAGGACCGCCCCGGGCCUUGGGCGGGGCGGGGGCCAGGGAAGGGCGUGCGCAGGAUUGGGGAGCACGUUUUGCGUCUUGCUGUGCGUGAGGAAGCGGGGAUCCAGGUCAAGGCUAUGGAAAGGUCAGGGAAGGGUGUCAGUGCGCCCGUCCUGCAGGGAGUCCAGAUCCGAGAGUUCCAGAAGCAAAAACAAAAAAAGUUCGGGUACAGCGGCUCACACCUGUAAUCCCAGCUCUUAGGGAGAUGGAAACUGGAGGAUCACUUGAGGCCAGGAGUUCAAGACCAGCCUGGGCAACAUAGCAAGACCCAGU